GGCCGCGCCGGGGGGGGGGAGGGCGCGCGGCACGGCUUGUUGCUAUGGUUACUCAGCGACGCCUGGCCUCGCGCUGGACCCGAGUGGGGAGCGCGGCAGCGUCCGGGACGGUCCCCGCCCUUCCCCCUAGGCCGGCGGAAGGAGCGGGAGCAGCCGGGGGUUGGGAGAGCUGGGAGCCGUUCGUGCUUCGCCAGGCCCCGCCGGUGUGUGAGCGGGGCCAGUCACGGGGCCGCGGGCCGGGCGCCCAAGGCCUGUGAGCCUCUCACCCGACAGGCCGGGCGGCGCGUCGAGCCCUGCUGGUGAAAGGGGGUUCAGCAGGAAGGCCAACGACGAAAUGGGCUACGGAGACUGAAUUCCCCUUGAGGAGAAGAGGAGAAAUAAAGAGGAGCCUGGCUGCUUCUCCCUCACAGCUGCUUCCAGGUUCAUGAACCCUGAACCCUACGGAGAUCCUCCAAGGUCUGCAGGUUAAGGAAGCGAAGCGCAAAAUGGAAGGCCUUCCCCUCUUCUAGAAUCAAAUCUACAUGUUUCUGCCAGGAAGUUCUUGAAAUUCCUUGCUUUCUCACUUCAUAUUUUUCAGACAGAUGGAGAAGUGAGACCCAAUCAACAUAUUUAUCAAGCAGAGACAUCCAGUUGCUGAACACGCAAGCCCUUCCACCUCAGAUGGACUGAGGAAUCCACCCAAGACUCUUGGGGAGUGUGUGCUCCCCAUUGUAUGAGAAGGAACAAGCUCAGGGACUAAAUGCUACAGGACAUUGUGGCCAAGGUAGAUCAACUGCAGUACCAGAGAAGGACGGAGGAGUAGAAGGCUCAGAGGGGGACAGCCCUACUGAAGGAGAGAAUGGUGGCGUGGUUCUUUGACCAUGACUGGAGAUUGAAGGAGAAGGACAGAAGACACACCUGUUCAAGAGGCUGCUCAGAUUCAUGGCCAUCAGGCUGCAGGACCCAAUCAAUUUCCCUCAUAAUUUUCUUCAUCUUUGGGAAAUUAGCCCUUUUGGAGCACCAAAUAUAUGCAUCAGUGGUUGGGACUAUCCUCUGCCCACACUGAAUGUAAUCAGAUCACGCUCACUGGUUCCUAGGCAACCACUAACUUCCAGUCCAGUGAUCAAUUCAGUUAUGUCACUGUAGUCCAGGCUUCGUGUCAAGAUACUCUCUGGACAUUAGAGCAAGGGCUUUCAUUGUGGACUGCCCUAUCGUUGAGCGGUCAUAGCUCUUAAUUCUGCCCAUUCUGGAGAAUGACAGUUAUGCUUCAAUAUUGGGAGGUAAAUGCAAUAUUGGGAGGUAAAUGCAAAGAGCGAUAUCUAGGUCUGGAAAAGUUGAUUCCAGGUGAAGAGCCUUCUGCUGUUUUAAAAGGCAAUUUACAAUUUUCAUUUGUUGUGAAAGAACAAAACUGUUCAAACUCAAAUUGUUUCAAGAUCUCAAGGAUAUUUUGCAACCCAAGUGCAGAAUGAAUCUCAGAGUGGGGUACUGUGUUGAAAUUGGUUAGGAAACCCAAAUCCUUUAUAUAAACAAAUAUAAGCUUCCAGGUAAUUUUGCAGGGACAUUUGCAAAUGAUCAACUAUGAAAUUAAAAGUUUCUACUCUAAAUGUUUCUGGCCACUGCAGCUCCAUAUUUGGUGUAUUGGAUUCACAUGCCUGCUGUUUAUGUUUUGGGACAUGAUGAGUUUCACUGUAGUAGGUUUGAGAUACAGUCGGUGUCUUUAACUUUGUAAGUGCUUCCAUGUCAUCAGUCUGAUCCCUCAGGUGCAAUAAAACCAAAACCAAAAAUCAGCCAGUGACUGCAGGAGUUGAACAGCAGAACCAGUCUUUGCUUUUUAAAGUGUGGAACUUGUUGACUGAAAUUGCUAGAGGAUAUGAUUCCAUAGCACUGCAUAAAUGCAGUUUCAAGACAGUCCAUCUUGUCUCACAAGAACUGAGCUUCUGUUUGUUUAGCCCCAUAUUCAGCAAUGUCUUUGCUGAUUUAAUCCAGAGCUUUUCGUAUAUUUAAACAAUUGUGCAUAGGGCUUUUGUGGAUUCAGGGGGCAGGUCCAACAGGUGCUAGACAGAGAUUUCAGAAACAAAAGACAAUUAUUUUCAUUUCCUUUAAGCCUCUCUGUAAGGAUUAUCCAGCAGUAAGGCAUGGAGUUGCUGGAGGAAGCCAAAAAAAAAAAGGUACUGCUUGCAGGUAGCACGUUAGUAACUACGGUGUCCAGAGGUUCAGAGAAUGUGCAGCACAAGGAACAUUAAUCGGCCUAAUAUGUGUCUGAAACCCGGCAUAUUUUCUUGACAUGUUGGCAGCAUUGUCAUAGCUCAUUUAGAGUACACAGCACAUUCUCUACAAGACUUUCACCAGAAUGACAGUAAAUGGGCACAAAUUUCAGAAAACAUUUGAUGCGAUUUCUGCUUUCGUUAACAAAAUGAACAGUGCAUGCCAGCUGAUGAACAUGAGAAACAGUGGGAAUACUGUCAACUGAACAGUAAUACUUGGCUGUAUUGCUGAUAGAACUUUCUUCCCCCUCAGUUGCAAAAACUCAUUGCAGAUAGUGGAGGAAAUAUAUGAUGCUUUUCCAUGCCCAGCAAUGCUGAACUUCUCAACAUGAAUUGUAAGGAAGUUAACAGAUUUGAAAAUUAGCUAUAAAACUCCCCAAAUAUUUCCAUUAUGAACAGAUCCAUUUUUUCCAUCGUCCUCACAAAGCAAGAACCUUCUUUCAGCAAGAAAUGUGAUUACCUUCACAAUUCACUUUAGUAUCUCUCACCAGUACUGUGUCUUGUUUUGAAACUGAUUAACUUGACAGCUCAGUAUCAAUACACUGAUUAACUUAUCACACAUUAACAAAAGUGAUCAGUGCUACCCUUAUACUUUUUAAUUCAAACAGUAAUCUCAUCACUAAAUCCGCCACAAAAAUCGCACUAAAUCCAUCACAUACGUCGUGUUUGUCUGAAAAAGCUUGCCCCUGAAACAGAACACAGCACCGGUUGACGUUGAGUACAGCAACCAUUCCCAGAAAAGUGACUGUUUCUCUGUUGACUGACUUCUGAGUGAAAAUAACUUUGGAAGGAUAACAACUGUAAGACUGACCACGUAUGUGUUUGUACAGGCUGAAUGUGGCAUUCCCUCAACUGCAGCAUCCAUAUGAGUUACCACUUGAUUUACAAAAUUGUUCAGUUUCGGUACUUUCCGAAGUAACUCUUUAUCCCGCAGUUCCUUUUUUAAAUUAAUUUUCAUUUAGAGGAGCUGCUCAUGUAUUUCCAACUUGCCUUUUCUUACACAAAAUUAAUCAAUCAACUUAACUAGAGUGUGCAUGUAUUUGUGCGUGUGUGUAUUUGUGUGUGUGCGCUAUAUGGAGUCAUGUACAUUAAGAUUAAACAAACCAUAGCAGCUUCCAAGGGACAAAGCUUAAGGGGCUUGAAAGCUUUGUGACAAAAUGAAUAUAGCAGAAGGUCCUAGGUUAUGAUUUUUAUUAAAAUGCAAGUAAACAUGAUGAGUGCGUAUUGGUGAUUUGAGUUUGCAGAGGUAAGUUUUGGGUUCAGGUGUGGGUUUCUUUUUCCUGGUGGGGUCAGGAGCCCCCCUAAGGAAAGGAGUUUUGUGGAAGUGCAUAUUGGUUAAUCUGGGCCUAGGGAUGGGAAGACCUGAAGUGGCAGGACAAUUACAAGAAUUACUGCAGGAACAAGCAGUCUGCAUGAUAUUACAAGGCAGCCAUGUGGUUCAAUGUGCUGAGUUAAGAUUAAAAAAACAAGACUAUCAGGGUAACUGUGUUGCAUAUGCUCUCAAUGGAAUUAAGAGGGGGUUUUGGUCAAUAUCACAAGUUAAGGUGAGGCCCCUCACCUGUGAUUAACAAUCCAAAGGCCUUGGAUUUGGUCUCCUCAGUCAGCUGCUUUGUCUUAAUUAGAAAGCACAGGACAGAGAUAUUGGGAAUGAGCAUGGCCAUGUUCUGCUCCUCACAGGUGAAGGGCAUCUAGAAAGAUGAUGCAGGUUCUGGGUGGCUGUGCCAAGAAUAUUGCCUGUGGAAGGGGAGACACAAAGUGUGAGUGCUGCUCAGAGCCUACACCAGAUGUAAAUAUCACAGCUCCAUUGAAGUCAAUGGUAUCUAGAUAACAGCAAUGUUCACAGGCUCUGAGACCUGUGGUGGCCAGGAAUCCCAGGCUGAAGGGGCUUUUCAGGGAAGCAGAGUUAUGUGCGUACUUCUCCUUCAUAUAAAGAACAUGUGAGCAAGACGUGCUGCUUUGUGGAGACAUUCCGUCCCAGCCAUUCAAGACUUUGUGAACACACCACCUUCCCAAUGAGACACUUUUGAUGUCUUGAGGUGUCAGAACCUUCUUUUGCCCCUUGUGACAGGGUCAGGCCAGAUGGCUACAGGAGAGUUUAGAAGGCAGAUAUAUUAGUCCCAGAUUAAGCA